rnacentral:rRNA from 1 species
GACGAACGCUGGCGGCGUGCUUAACACAUGCCAGUCGAACGGAAAGGCCCUGCCUUUGUGGGGUGCUCGAGUGGCGAACGGGUGAGUAACACGUGAGUACCCUGCCGUUGCCUUUGGGAUAACUUCAGGAAACUGGGGCUAAUGCCGGCUAGGAGCUCCUGCUGCAUGGUGGGGGUUGGAAAGUUUCGGCGGUUGGGUAUGGACUCGCGGCUUAUCAGCUUGUUGGUGGGGUAGUGGCUUACUAAGGCUUUGACGGGUAGCCGGCCUGAGAGGGUGACCGGCCACAUAGGGACUGAGAUACGGCCCAGACUCCUACGGGAGGCAGCAGUGGGGAACAGUGCACAAUGGGCGGAAGCCUGAUGCAGCAACGCCGCGUGCGGGAGGACGGCCUUCGGGUUGUAAACCGCGUGCGCCUGUGACGAAGCGUGAGUGACGGUAAUGUGUAAAGAAGCACCGGCUAACUACGUG